AUCACUAAAGCCUGCGAGAAAUAUACUAAAAUUGGAUCGAUACAGAGAAGAUUAGCAUGGCCCCUGCGAA
ensembl:snRNA U6 U6 spliceosomal RNA